GUGCUUAACACAUGCAAGUCGAACGGAAAGGCCCUGCUUUUGUGGGGUGCUCGAGUGGCGAACGGGUGAGUAACACGUGAGUAACCUGCCCUUGACUUUGGGAUAACUUCAGGAAACUGGGGCUAAUACCGGAUAGGAGCUCCUGCUGCAUGGUGGGGGUUGGAAAGUUUCGGCGGUUGGGGAUGGACUCGCGGCUUAUCAGCUUGUUGGUGGGGUAGUGGCUUACCAAGGCUUUGACGGGUAGCCGGCCUGAGAGGGUGACCGGCCACAUUGGGGCUGAGAUACGGCCCAGACUCCUACGGGAGGCAGCAGUGGGGAAUAUUGCACAAUGGGCGGAAGCCUGAUGCAGCAACGCCGCGUGCGGGAUGACGGCCUUCGGGUUGUAAACCGCUUUCGCCUGUGACGAAGCGUGAGUGACGGUAAUGGGUAAAGAAGCACCGGCUAACUACGUGCCAGCAGCCGCGGUGAUACGUAGGGUGCGAGCGUUGUCCGGAUUUAUUGGGCGUAAAGGGCUCGUAGGUGGUUGAUCGCGUCGGAAGUGUAAUCUUGGGGCUUAACCCUGAGCGUGCUUUCGAUACGGGUUGACUUGAGGAAGGUAGGGGAGAAUGGAAUUCCUGGCGGAGCGGUGGAAUGCGCAGAUAUCAGGAGGAACACCAGUGGCGAAGGCGGUUCUCUGGGCCUUUCCUGACGCUGAGGAGCGAAAGCGUGGGGAGCGAACAGGCUUAGAUACCCUGGUAGUCCACGCUGUAAACGGUGGGUACUAGGUGUGGGGUCCAUUCCACGGGUUCCGUGCCGUAGCUAACGCUUUAAGUACCCCGCCUGGGGAGUACGGCCGCAAGGCUAAAACUCAAAGGAAUUGACGGGGCCCCGCACAAGCGGCGGAGCAUGCGGAUUAAUUCGAUGCAACGCGUAGAACCUUACCUGGGUUUGACAUGGAUCGGGAGUGCUCAGAGAUGGGUGUGCCUCUUUUGGGGUCGGUUCACAGGUGGUGCAUGGCUGUCGUCAGCUCGUGUCGUGAGAUGUUGGGUUAAGUCCCGCAACGAGCGCAACCCUUGUUCACUGUUGCCAGCACGUUAUGGUGGGGACUCAGUGGAGACCGCCGGGGUCAACUCGGAGGAAGGUGGGGAUGACGUCAAGUCAUCAUGCCCCUUAUGUCCAGGGCUUCACGCAUGCUACAAUGGCUGGUACAGAGAGUGGCGAGCCUGUGAGGGUGAGCGAAUCUCGGAAAGCCGGUCUCAGUUCGGAUUGGGGUCUGCAACUCGACCUCAUGAAGUCGGAGUCGCUAGUAAUCGCAGAUCAGCAACGCUGCGGUGAAUACGUUCCCGGGGCUUGUACACACCGCCCGUCAAGUCAUGAAAGUUGGUAACACCCGAAGCCGGUGGCCUAACCGUUGUGGGGGAGCCGUCGAAGGUGGGACUGGUGAUUAGGACUAAGA
rnacentral:rRNA from 1 species